ensembl:lncRNA
AUUUUCCAGGCAAGGAUAUUGGAGUCGGUAGCCGUUUCCUACUCUCGGGGAUAUUCCCGACCCAGAGAUCGAACCCAUGUCUCCUGCAUCUCCAGCAUUGGCAGGGGGAUUCUUUACCACUGGGCCACCUGGGAAGCCAAAGAGGGUGUGAUACGUGUACACAAUAGAAUACUGCUCAGCCAUAAAAAGGAAUGAGAUGUUCCCCAAUCUGAGUGGACCCAGAGAUGAUCAUACUGAGUGAAGGAUCUUCCUAGCCCAAGGAUUGAACCUGGAUCUUCAGCAUCAGCAGGCAGAUUCUUUACCACUGAGCCACCAGGGAAAACCGAAUUUCCUUUAAUCAUCUCCAAUUACCCAACCAGCUGGACUAAUCAAUAUUCGCCAGUCUGUAAGAUCAACCAUGUGGGGCCCACAGCAAGCGUGGGAGGAGACACUGAACUACCACACAGAGGUCUUAGUUGCAGCAUGAGGGAUCUCGCUCCCUGAGCAGGGAUUGAACUCGGGCCUUCUGCAUUGGGAACAGAGUCUUACCCACUGGAUCACCAAGGAAGUCCCAAAGCACAGCAGCUUUUACUUGGGAAAGCAGAGUUCAUGGACCAGGUCCCAGGACAGAUGCCAGUUGAAAAACUAAGAACUCACCAAUGAACGACCUAACUCAUUCUAGCCACAUGCCAGACGCAGAGUCAGCUACCUGAGGGCUUGGAAGCUGAGUAACGUCUAUCUGGACGCACGGUGGUAGGCCCCCUUGAAGCACCCCCGUUAAAUUGCUCACAGACUGUCUUUAUCUCUGUUGGCUGUGGGGCUUUGCUAUCUUGAUGAGAGAAGGGCGUGGUUUCCUGCUUUCCAGGAAUAACGCACGCUGCAUCACCCUGGGUGAUCCAGCAGCCAAUUUCUUGCUCUUCAGAUCAUCCUGUCCUAUUUCUAACUGACACAAUUUCUCCAGGGCUCUGGGAAGCUGGAGGAGGGGGACAUGCCUUCUCCCCUUGACACUUACCUCUUUUUAACCAUCAAUUUACCUGUCUGACCCUAAGCCAAAAUUAAUGCUAAGGGUCGUAGGGUACAUACGAAAUUUACCAAAUCAUCAGAGUCUCAGUCUGUUAGGGCUGCUAUAACAAAAAUACCACAGACUGGGUGCAUUAUAAACAGCAGAAAUGCAGUGCUCACAGUUCUAGAGGCUGUAAGUCCAAGAUCAGGGGAGCAGCGUGAGCAGGUAAGUGGUGCACAGUUGCUGCUGUGGCCUCACAAGGCCCAAGGGGAG